rnacentral:rRNA from 1 species
CAAGGCUUAAAUGGGAAUUGACAGGUUUAGAAAUAGACUUUUCUUCGGACAAUUUUCAAGGUGCUGCAUGGUUGUCGUCAGCUCGUGCCGUGAGGUGUUAGGUUAAGUCCUGCAACGAGCGCAACCCCUGUCACUAGUUGCCAUCAUUCAGUUGGGGACUCUAGUGAGACUGCCUACGCAAGUAGAGAGGAAGGUGGGGAUGACGUCAAAUCAUCACGGCCCUUACGCCUUGGGCCACACACGUAAUACAAUGGCCGGUACAGAGGGCAGCUACCUAGCGAUAGGAUGCGAAUCUCGAAAGCCGGUCUCAGUUCGGAUUGGAGUCUGCAACUCGACUCUAUGAAGCUGGAAUCGCUAGUAAUCGCGCAUCAGCCAUGGCGCGGUGAAUACGUU